rnacentral:rRNA from 1 species
ACUCGUAGACUCCUACGGGAGGCAGCAGGUGGGAAUAUUCACGANGGCGACNCUGAUGCAGCCAUGCCGCGUGUGUGAAGAAGGCCUUCGGGUUGUAAAGCACUUUCAGUCGUGAGGAAGGUAGUGUAGUUAAUAGCUGCAUUAUUUGACGUUAGCGACAGAAGAAGCACCGGCUAACUCCGUGCCAGCAGCCGCGGUAAUACGGAGGGUGCGAGCGUUAAUCGGAAUUACUGGGCGUAAAGCGCAUGCAGGUGGUUUGUUAAGUCAGAUGUGAAAGCCCGGGGCUCAACCUCGGAAUUGCAUUUGAAACUGGCAGACUAGAGUACUGUAGAGGGGGGUAGAAUUUCAGGUGUAGCGGUGAAAUGCGUAGAGAUCUGAAGGAAUACCGGUGGCGAAGGCGGCCCCCUGGACAGAUACUGACACUCAGAUGCGAAAGCGUGGGGAGCAAACAGGAUUAGAUACCCUGGUAG